CAGCCAUGCCGCGUGAGUGAAGAAGGUCUUCGGAUUGUAAAGCACUUUAAGUUGGGAGGAAGGGCAGUUACCUAAUACGUGACUGUCUUGACGUUACCGACAGAAUAAGCACCGGCUAACUCUGUGCCAGCAGCCGCGGUAAUUGA
rnacentral:rRNA from 1 species